ensembl:snRNA U1 U1 spliceosomal RNA
UUACUUACCUGGUAGGGGCGAUACCAUAAUCACGAAGGUGUUUCACCCAGGGCGAGGCUCUGCCAUUGCCCUUGGGUGGUGCUGACCCUUGCGAAUUCCCCAAAUGCGGGAAUCUUGACUGCGUAAUUUCUGGUAGUGGGGGACUGCGUUUGUGCUCUAA